UACGUAGGGGGCUAGCGUUGUCCGGAAUUAUUGGGCGUAAAGAGCGUGUAGGCGGUCCGGUAAGUCCGUUGUGAAAGUCAAGGGCUCAACCCUUGAAUGCCGGCGGAUACUGUCGGGCUAGAGUCCGGAAGAGGCGAGUGGAAUUCCCGGUGUAGCGGUGAAAUGCGCAGAUAUCGGGAGGAACACCAGUAGCGAAGGCGGCUCGCUGGGCCAUUCCUGACGCUGAGACGCGAAAGCGUGGGGAGCGAACAGG
rnacentral:rRNA from 1 species